rnacentral:rRNA from 1 species
CCCUUAGAUGUUCUGAGCCGCACGCGCGCUACACUGAUGCAUUCAACGAGUUUCUUCCUGGUCCGAGAGGAAUGGGUAACCUUUUGAAAGUGCAUCGUGAUAGGGAUAGACUAUUGCAAUUAUUGGUCUUCAACGAGGAAUUCCUAGUAGACGUAGUUCAUCAGACUGCAUCGAUUACGUCCCUGCCCUUUGUACACACCGCCCGCCGCUCCUACCGAUUGAAUGCUCAGGUGAGCCAUUCGGACUUUCAUCAUGCUGGUUUCCAGUUUUGAUGAAGGAAAGUCUUGCGAACCUUAUCAUUUAGAGGAAGGAGAAGUCGUAACA